rnacentral:rRNA from 1 species
GACGAACGCUGGCGGCGUGCCUAAUACAUGCAAGUAGAACGCACAGUUUAUACCGUAGCUUGCUACACCAUAGACGGUGAGUUGCGAACGGGUGAGUAACGCGUAGGUAACCUGCCUGGUAGCGGGGGAUAACUAUUGGAAACGAUAGCUAAUACCGCAUAAUAUUGAUUAUUGCAUGAUAAUUGAUUGAAAGAUGCUAUUGCAUCACUACCAGAUGGACCUGCGUUGUAUUAGCUAGUAGGUGAGGUAACGGCUCACCUAGGCGACGAUACAUAGCCGACCGGAGAGGGCGGUUGGCCAGACUGGGAGUGAGACACGGCACAGACUCCUUGGGAAGGCAGCCGGAGGGCAACUUCGGCAAUGGGCGAAAGUCUGACCGCGCAACGCCGAGUGAGUGAAGAACGUCUUCGGGUCGUGAAGCUCUGUUGUAAGAGAAGAACGGGUGUGAGAGUGGAAAGUUGACACUGUGACGGUAACUUACCAGAAAGGAACGGCUAACUACGUG